rnacentral:lncRNA from 1 species
UUUACUAGUCAGUUAUAAAUUGAGGUUUCCCCGAAAUCCCCAUCUCAGAUUUCAUAAAUUUGCUAUAGAUGUUCACAGAACUCGGGGAAAUUCUUCUCCUACCUCAGCCAGAUCUUGUAGCAUAUAUUUAAAAGCUUGCAGAGCUUUUUUAAAAGCUGAAGAUGGAACUCUUAUGUCAUGCUUUAAAAGCCUAUGAUAAGGGAUUAAUGUGUGUGGCUAUAGUGUCCUUACGUCUCCAUGUUUCCAUCUCUUUCUCUUCAAGGAGAUGGCCGAGUAGAGACUUUGCAGUUCCUUUCUGUAGCUGCCCUGUGGCAUCUUCUCUGUGGGCUCCAGGUAUGGGCUCACUUAGCUGCUAUGGUGUGUACGUCUCCCAGCUAUGAUGUGUUGGCUGCUGAGACAGGAACAAUGAGCUUCCACGUUACCGCUUUGGCUCAUCAGAGAAAACCACAGUUAACCGGCUUUUGGAUAGUGUACUGGACGAUGAACAACCUUAGAAUUAAAGUCCUCAGCCUCCAAUCAUAUCAUGCCAGGCUACAACCAUUGGCAAUUUGAGGUCUAGUUACCUCUCCUUUAUCACCAAAACAACAACAACAAAAAAAAAGGACGAGGGGGAAUCCAAACAUCAAAUUACAGGAUGAAAGCUGCAACUGAGGGUGUUAGGAGAGCCUCCCCUCCCCACAGCCGCCCUGCCUGCCUUGCCUGGAGAUUGUGUCAUGAAUGGGAUGAAAGCUUAGAUUGCCAGAGCUGAUUCAUUGGUAAAGUCUCUCCUGUGCCUCUCCAGGUGCCACCAUUUCCAGACUGGGUGACUGAUGGACUGUAACUGGGCCUUUUGUGUUCUCCCCAAUACCUUCUUGCGCUAAUGAAAGCGUUGUUGGGAAUCUCUGAAGAACAGAAACAAAUCGCUGGAGAGAUGGCUUGGUGGUUAGCAGUAUGAGCUGCUCUUCCAGAGGUCCUGGGUUCAACUCCCAACACUCACAACUGUCAGGAACGCCAAGAUCUGACACACUCACACAAACAUUUGUGCAGGCAAAACAUCAAUGUACAUAAAAUAAGAAUAAAAUAUUUAAAAAAUAACAGAAACAAACAACUUCUAGAUUAAAGACAGAUCUCUUAAAAACAUUUUUAAAAUAGUAUAUAUGAUUUAUUGUUAAUUCCCCAGCAACUUAGGUAAGGUUGCUUUAGUUGUUCCCUGGAUAAAUAGUUGCUAGGUUCUAGAAAAACAAAUCUUUUU